GACGAACGCUGGCGGCGUGCCUAAUACAUGCAGGUAGAACGCUGAAGAGAGGAGCUUGCUCUUCUCGGAUGAGUUGCGAACGGGUGAGUAACGCGUAGGUAACCUGCCUUGUAGCGGGGGAUAACUAUUGGAAACGAUAGCUAAUACCGCAUAACAAUGGAUGACACAUGUCAUUUAUUUGAAAGGGGCAAUUGCUCCACUACAAGAUGGACCUGCGUUGUAUUAGCUAGUAGGUGAGGUAAUGGCUCACCUAGGCGACGAUACAUAGCCGACCUGAGAGGGUGAUCGGCCACACUGGGACUGAGACACGGCCCAGACUCCUACGGGAGGCAGCAGUAGGGAAUCUUCGGCAAUGGGGGCAACCCUGACCGAGCAACGCCGCGUGAGUGAAGAAGGUUUUCGGAUCGUAAAGCUCUGUUGUAAGUCAAGAACGGGUGUGAGAGUGGAAAGUUCACACUGUGACGGUAGCUUACCAGAAAGGGACGGCUAACUACGUG
rnacentral:rRNA from 1 species